CCCGCUGAACUUAAGCAUAUCAAUAAGCGGAGGAAAAGAAACCAACAGGGAUUGCCCUAGUAACGGCGAGUGAAGCGGCAACAGCUCAAAUUUGAAAUCUGGCGCAAGCCCGAGUUGUAAUUUGUAGAGGAUGCUUCUGGCCAGCGGCCGUUCUAAGUUCCUUGGAACAGGACGUCAUAGAGGGUGAGAAUCCCGUAUGUGACCGGCGCGCAGCCUUUACGUAGCUCCUUCGACGAGUCGAGUUGUUUGGGAAUGCAGCUCUAAAUGGGAGGUAAAUUUCUUCUAAAGCUAAAUACCGGCCAGAGACCGAUAGCGCACAAGUAGAGUGAUCGAAAGAUGAAAAGUACUUUGGAAAGAGAGUUAAAAAGCACGUGAAAUUGUUGAAAGGGAAGCGCUUGCAACCAGACUUCGUAGCGAUGUUCCGCUGGUCUUUUGACCGGUCUACUCAUCGUCGCGAGGCCAACAUCGUCUGGGACCGCUGGAUAAGACCUAAGGAAUGUAGCUUCCCUCGGGAAGUGUUAUAGCCUGUGGUGAUGCAGCGUGUCUCGGGCGAGGUCCGCGCUUCGGCAAGGAUGUUGGCGUAAUGGUUGUCAGCGGCCCGUCUUGAAACACGGACCAAGGAGUCUAACAUCUAUGCGAGUGUUCGGGUGUCAAACCCCUACGCGUAAUGAAAGUGAACGGAGGUGGGAAGCGCAAGCUGCACCAUCGACCGAUCCUGAUGUCCUCGGAUGGAUUUGAGUAAGAGCAUAGCUGUUGGGACCCGAAAGAUGGUGAACUAUGCCUGAAUAGGGUGAAGCCAGAGGAAACUCUGGUGGAGGCUCGCAGCGGUUCUGACGUGCAAAUCGAUCGUCAAAUUUGGGUAUAGGGGCGAAAGACUAAUCGAACCAUCUAGUAGCUGGUUCCUGCCG
rnacentral:rRNA from 1 species